UAGGGAAUCUUCGGCAAUGGGGGGAACCCUGACCGAGCAACGCCGCGUGAGUGAAGAAGGUUUUCGGAUCGUAAAGCUCUGUUGUUAAGGAAGAACGAGUGUGAGAAUGGAAAGUUCAUACUGUGACGGUACUUAACCAGAAAGGGACGGCUAACUACGUGCCAGCAGCCGCGGUAAUACGUAGGUCCCGAGCGUUGUCCGGAUUUAUUGGGCGUAAAGCGAGCGCAGGCGGUUAGAUAAGUCUGAAGUUAAAGGCAGUGGCUCAACCAUUGUAGGCUUUGGAAACUGUUUGACUUGAGUGCAGAAGGGGAGAGUGGAAUUCCAUGUGUAGCGGUGAAAUGCGUAGAUAUAUGGGGGAACACCGGUGGCGAAAGCGGCUCUCUGGUCUGUAACUGACGCUGAGGCUCAAAAGCGUGGGGAGCGAACAGG
rnacentral:rRNA from 1 species